UGGGGAAUAUUGCACAAUGGGCGAAAGCCUGAUGCAGCGACGCCGCGUGAGGGAUGGAGGCCUUCGGGUUGUAAACCUCUUUCAGUAAGGGUGAAGGCUCUCUUUUGUGGAGGGUUGACAGUACUUGCAGAAGAAGCGCCGGCUAACUACGUUCCAGCAGCCGCGGUAAUACGUAGGGCGCGAGCGUUGUCCGGAAUUAUUGGGCGUAAAGGGCUUGUAGGUGGCGUGUCGCGUCUGCUGUGAAAUUCCAGGGCUUAACUUUGGGAUUGCAGUGGGUACGGGCAUGGUAGAGUGCAGUAGGGGAGAUUGGAAUUCCUGGUGUAGCGGUGAAAUGCGCAGAUAUCAGGAGGAACACCGGUGGCGAAGGCGGGUCUCUGGGCUGUUACUGACGCUGAGGAGCGAAAGCGUGGGGAGCGAACAGG
rnacentral:rRNA from 1 species